rnacentral:rRNA from 1 species
CGAAGGGUGCAAGCGUUACUCGGAAUUACUGGGCGUAAAGCGUGCGUAGGUGGUGAGUUAAGUCUGUCGUGAAAGCCCCGGGCCCAACCUGGGAAUGGCGAUGGAUACUGGCUCGCUAGAGUGCGGUAGAGGAGAGUGGAAUUCCCGGUGUAGCAGUGAAAUGCGUAGAGAUCGGGAGGAACAUCAGUUGCGAAGGCGGCUCUCUGGACCAGCACUGACACUGAGGCACGAAAGCGUGGGGAGCAAACAGGAUUAGAUACCCUGGUAGUCCACGCCCUAAACGAUGCGAACUGGACGUUGGGAGCAAUCAGGCUCUCAGUGUCGAAGCUAACGCGUUAAGUUCGCCGCCUGGGGAGUACGGUCGCAAGACUG